ACGUAGGGGGCCAGCGUUGCUCGGAAUUACUGGGCGUAAAGGGUUCGUAGGUGGUGCGGCAAGUUGGAAGUGAAAUCUCUGGGCUUAACCCAGAGGCUGCUUUCAAAACUGCCGCGCUCGAGUGCGAGAGAGGUCAGUGGAAUUGCAGGUGUAGCGGUGAAAUGCGUAGAUAUCUGCAGGAACACCCGUGGCGAAGGCGGCUGACUGGAUCGCAACUGACACUGAGGAACGAAAGCUAGGGGAGCAAACAGGAUUAGAUACCCUGGUAGUCCUAGCCCUAAACCAUCGGAACUUGGGGUGGCCCGCGUAGGCGGGUCGUCCCGUAGCUAACGCGUUAAGUUCCGCGCCUGGGGAGUACGGUCGCAAGACUG
rnacentral:rRNA from 1 species